UACGGGGGGAGCAAGCGUUGUUCGGAUUUACUGGGCGUAAAGGGCGCGUAGGCGGCUUGGCAAGUGGAUGGUGAAAUCCCUCGGCUUAACCGAGGAACUGCCAUCCAGACUGCUUUGCUUGAGGCCGGGAGAGGUAAGUGGAAUUCCCAGUGUAGCGGUGAAAUGCGUAGAUAUUGGGAGGAACACCAGUGGCGAAGGCGGCUUACUGGACCGGUUCUGACGCUGAGGUGCGAAAGCGUGGGGAGCAAACAGG
rnacentral:rRNA from 1 species